GAUAUUGGACAAUGGGCGAAAGCCUGAUCCAGCCAUGCCGCGUGUGUGAAGAAGGUCUUCGGAUUGUAAAGCUCUCUAAGUUGGGAGGAAGGGCAGUAAGUUAAUACCUUGCUGUUUUGACGUUACCGACAGAAUAAGCACCGGCUAACUGCUUGCCAGCAGCCGCGGUAAUACGAAGGGUGCAGGCGUUAAUCGGAAUUACUGGGCGUAAAGCACGCGUAGGGGGUUCGUUAAGUUGGAAGUGAAAGCCCCGGGCUUAACCUGGGAAUUGCUUUCAAAACAGACGAGCUAGAGUACGGUAGAGGGUAGUGGAAUUUCCUGUGUAGCGGUGAAAUGCGUAGAUAUAGAAAGGAACAUCAGUGGCGAAGGCGACUACCUGGACGGAUACUGACACUGAGGUGCGAAAGCGUGGGGAGCAAACAGG
rnacentral:rRNA from 1 species